rnacentral:ncRNA from 1 species
AAUUAACGCAGUAUGGAUGGUUCUCUCGUGCCGAGGUGGGGCGAGGGAGUAAAUGGGAAUGCGAAGGGGCGGACCCACGCCGGGCGCCCUUAUCGCAGCCGACCCCGCGACUGUAGAACGGUCAGGGUUCGCCAUCGGGCAUUUCGCCGGAUUUCAACGCGCUGCAUGGGCAGUCUCGUGAAGUUUGGCGGCAUGUCGGAAAAGCCACUGGCGUGGCAUUGCGAUCAGCCGGGCAGGACGCCUCUUCUUCUACGAAUCGUCCGCCUUUCGCGAUGCCGCAAACGCCGGGAAGGCGAGGCGAGCCCGUUCGGUCUUUUGCCGCAUCGUUUUUCGGGCCGAGCCGGUCCGGCGAACGUGCGGCCAUGAGGAUCGUGACGCCGUGAGCCAGGAGACCUGCCAUCCGUCAGGGCAUUCC